rnacentral:rRNA from 1 species
AUGGUUGGCUGUGUGUUUGGCACAGAUUUGUGCCCUGAUAACAUAUGGCAAUAUUUCUCUUGGUGCUAUACUUUCUUACCUGAUGGUGUCAGAUUCUAUACUUUUGGCCUAGCUGCGAUCUGCUGGGCCAUGUGGAUUUGUCGUAACAGGGCCAGUUUCGAAGGCAAAAAGCUGAGAUCCCCUUUUGAUGUGGUCUUCUCUGCAUGUGGCUACAUGAACUACUGGGCAGGUCUGAUGGCAGGAGCUGAUCGAGAGGCGAUGGAGCGCGGCGCGAAGAUGCUCAAGACCAAUGCGGCUGCCAUGAUGAGGAUUUGUGUAGCCCCAGCUGGAUAA